rnacentral:misc_RNA from 1 species
UUUCCGUAGGUGAACCUGCGGAAGGAUCAUUACCGAGUGAGGGCCCUCUGGGUCCAACCUCCCACCCGUGUUUAUCGUACCUUGUUGCUUCGGCGGGCCCGCCUCACAGCCGCCGGGGGGCACCCGCCCCCGGGCCCGCGCCCGCCGAAGACACCAUUGAACGCUGUCUGAAGAUUGCAGUCUGAGCAUCUUAGCUAAAUCAGUUAAAACUUUCAACAACGGAUCUCUUGGUUCCG